rnacentral:rRNA from 1 species
GAUGAACGCUGGCGGCGUGCUUAACACAUGCAAGUCGAACGAGGUCCAACCUUCGGGUGAAGACCUAGUGGCGAACGGGUGAGUAACACGUGGGCAAUCUGCCCUCCACCCUGGGAUAACCCCCGGAAACGGGAGCUAAUACCGGAAACUUCGGAAUGGUCGCAUGGCCGAUCCGAGAAAGCUCCGGCGGGGGAGGCUGAGCCCGCGGCCCAUGAGCUUGUUGGCGGGGGAACGGCACACCAAGGCGACGAUGGGCAGCCGCGCUGAGAGGCUGAUCGGCCACACUGGGACUGCGACACGGCCCAGACUCCUACGGGAGGCAGCAGUGGGGAAUCUUGCGCGAUGGGCGAAAGCCUGACGCAGCAACGCCGCGUGCGGGAUGAAGGCUCUCGGGUCGUAAACCGCUUUCAGUAGGGACGAAACUGACUGUACCUACAGAAGAAGCCCCGGCUAAAUACGUGCCAGCCGCCGCGGUAAGAC